rnacentral:rRNA from 1 species
GAUGAACGCUAGCGACAGGCCUAACACAUGCAAGUCGAGGGGCAGCGCGGAGCAAGCCUGCUUGUUCUGGCGGCGACCGGCGCACGGGUGCGUAACAGGUGUGCAAUCUGUCCAUAAUCGGGGAAUAGCCCAGCGAAAGUUGGAUUAAUGCUCCAUGUGAGUUUUAGAGGCAUCUCUUUAAUUUGAAACGUAAGGAUUAUGGGUGAGCACGCUUCUGAUUAGGUAGUUGGUGAGGUAACGGCUCACCAAGCCGACGAUCAGUAGGGGUUCUGAGAGGAAGGUCCACCACAUUGGAACUGAGACACGGUCCAAACUCCUACGGGAGGCAGCAGUGAGGAAUAUUGGUCAAUGGACGGAAGUCUGAACCAGCCAAGUCGCGUGAAGGAUGAAGGUUCUAUGGAUUGUAAACUUCUUUUGUCUGAGGGUAAAAAGCGGACGUGUCCGUUCUUGCAAGUAUCAGACGAAUAAGCAUCGGCUAACUCCGUGCCAGCAGCCGCGGUAAGAC